rnacentral:rRNA from 1 species
GAUGAACGCUGGCGGCGUGCCUAAUACAUGCAAGUCGAGCGAACAGACGAUGAGCUUGCUCCUCUGAUGUUAGCGGCGGACGGGUGAGUAACACGUGGAUAACCUACCUAUAAGACUGGGAUAACUUCGGGAAACCGGAGCUAAUACCGGAUAAGAUGCUGAACCGCAUGGUUCAACAGUGAAAGACGGUCUUGCUGUCACUUAUAGAUGGAUCCGCGCCGCAUUAGCUAGUUGGUAAGGUAACGGCUUACCAAGGCAACGAUGCGUAGCCGACCUGAGAGGGUGGUCGCCCACACUGGAACUGGGCCGCGGUCCAGACUCCUGCGGUAGGCCGCAGUAGGGAAUCUGACGCAACGGGCGGAAACAUGACGGAGCGACGCCGAGUGAGUUAAGGAGGUCUCCGGUUCGUAAUACUGUGUUAUGAGUGAAGAACCGAUGUGGCAGUAGCUGUGCACGUAUUGACGGUACCUAGUCAGGAAGCACCGGCUAACUACGUG